rnacentral:rRNA from 1 species
UACGAAGGGGGCUAGCGUUGUUCGGAAUUACUGGGCGUAAAGGGCGCGUAGGCGGUGUGUCAGGUCAGGCGUGAAAGCCCCGGGCUCAACCUGGGAACCGCGCUUGAGACUGGCACGCUCGAGUUCGGGAGAGGAUGGUGGAAUUCCCAGUGUAGAGGUGAGAUUCGUAGAUAUUGGGAAGAACACCGAUGGCGAAGGCAGCCAUCUGGACCGACACUGACGCUGAGGCGCGAAAGCGUGGGGAGCAAACAGG